CACAAACACGGUGGUUGUGUCUCUUCCAAACAUCAGGUCUGUUGUUUGUAUUUCGCAGCUACGUAGGCUCGUAGAUUUGGGUUAUGGCGAGCGAGAUUCAACCAGGACCUGGUCACCUGGACCUUGUGGAGGGAGAUCCAGACUGAGUUGGCACAAACAGUGUCAUUACUAAUACACCUCACUUUCUUCUCCUUUUCAAUUUGACAUGUUGGACAAGAUGCUGACAAAAGGAUCCUGAAGGACGUUGAGCCUUCUGGAGCUGGAAGAACACACCUGAGCCAUUAUUAGAUUGGGACACACAAUAAAUACUUGACAAUAUCUAUAAAAUGUCAAAUUUUCUGUGGUAGUUUUACUCCAAUAAUAGUAGAUUAUGUAAAAGAAUGUAAAGCAGUUUGGUAAAACAUGUUUUAAUUAUCAUUAAGACUGUUUCUGCUGUGUUACUUUUAGCUGUAAAUGUCCUCAGUCAGCAAACAGUCCAGAUCAGCUGCCUCUGGUGACCUAUGGUGAAUUAGAUCUAGUAUAAUACAUGAAUAGAGCCAGGUAAUGUUCAAUUAUGAAGUUGGCAAAAUAAAAAAAAUGUUGGACAAGAUGCUGACAAAAGGAUCCUGAAGGAUGUUGAGCCCCCACCAACAUUUUGCUCACAACAAAUGUGCAGACUCCAUGGUCCACCCUGUAUUACAAUGACGAUGUUCACUUUUUACAUCUAAAAACAUCAGCUGGAGAGCCUCUCUUCAAAGACCAGCAAGGAACAAUGCAGAGCCAAACCAACGAGGACGGAGCUGUCAUUCUGUAAGUUUUAUAUUCCUUAAUAUUUUUUUUAAAUCAACAACACCUUUGUAAUUUACAUGUGGCGUUUACUGUAGUUCUUGUGACACAUUCAGAACAACUGAAAUAAAAUAAAUAUAAAUUAGUCAAUAAAAUAUGUAAUUA
rnacentral:lncRNA from 1 species